rfam:Homo sapiens chromosome 17 genomic contig HG2285_HG106_HG2252_PATCH, GRC reference assembly FIX PATCH for GRCh38.
GCUGGGUGUGGUGGUGUGCACCUGUAGUCCUAGCUACUUGGGAGGCUAAGGCAGGAGGAUUGCUUGAGCCCAGGAGUUUGAGGUUACAGCGAACUAUGAUGGUGUCACUGUACUCCAGCCUUGGUGACAAAGCAAGACCUUGUCUUGG